CAUGGAGAGGCAGAGCAGGGGGCAGCAGAAGUCUGGGUAAAGAAGGUGCAGGGGAAGUUACCAUAGCAUUGCCCAAAGCAUGCAAAUAGAGAUCCCCCUUCUCCGAAAGCUAAUGAUCUGCUUGUGCCCCAGAGGCAGGGCCCAGCACACCAGGUGGGGGACCCUUCCCUGUCAACACCACUGAGAGGCCAGCGGAGUGAAGGACAGAGUGGAGAAGCAACAGUUAUCCUGUAGAACACAAAGCUGUAUUUGAGCCUUGGCUUGCAGAGCUGCUUCAGAGGCUUGAAGAAUGGCUGAUUUGAAGAUAUCCCACUUUUCCAGGAUGUUAUUCGGUGAGGAGGCAAUACUAUCCAUUUUUCCUCCAUGUUUUCCCUCUGUUUUUCUGGAUGAAAUGGGUGUCUCAGCUUUGUGAUGUUCAAUUUUGGUUUAAUCCAUUCAGCAUUGUUUGCUUACCAUGGACACUGAAAAUGGCUCUGAUCAUUCUGUGGUAAAUCCAACAGUUAGCCCCUCGCAUUGCUCUGGUGAUUUUGACGUCCUUU